GUACUUACCUGGCAGGGGAGACACCAUGAUCAGGCAGGUGGUUUUCCCAGGGUCAUCCCCUGCACUAUAAUUUGUGACCUGAUCUAGGUUGACCUGCUUCUACG
rnacentral:snRNA from 10 species